AGAGUUUGAUCCUGGCUCAGGAUGAACGCUAGCGAUAGGCCUAACACAUGCAAGUCGAGGGGCAGCAUAGAGUAGCAAUACUUUGGUGGCGACCGGCGCACGGGUGAGUAACACGUAUGCAACCUACCUACAUCAGGGGAAUAACCCGGAGAAAUUCGGACUAAUACCGCAUAAUACAGGGAUGCCGCAUGGUAAUAUUUGUUAAAGAUUUAUCGGAUGUAGAUGGGCAUGCGUUCCAUUAGCUAGUUGGUAAGGUAACGGCUUACCAAGGCAACGAUGGAUAGGGGAACUGAGAGGUUUGUCCCCCACACUGGAACUGAGACACGGACCAGACUCCUACGGGAGGCAGCAGUGAGGAAUAUUGGUCAAUGGACGAGAGUCUGAACCAGCCAAAUCGCGUGAAGGAAGACUGCCCUACGGGUUGUAAACUUCUUUUGUACAGGAAUAAAAGACAUUACGUGUAAUGUAUUGCAUGUACUGUACGAAUAAGCAUCGGCUAACUCCGUGCCAGCAGCCGCGGUAAUACGGAGGAUGCGAGCGUUAUCCGGAUUUAUUGGGUUUAAAGGGUGCGCAGGCGGGAUUUUAAGUCAGCGGUGAAAUUUUCAGGCUCAACCUGAACACUGCCGUUGAAACUGGGAUUCUUGAGUAUGGAUGAAGUAGGCGGAAUUCGUUGUGUAGCGGUGACAUGCUUAGAUAUAACGAGGAACUCCGAUUGCGUAGGCAGCUUACUAAGCCAUAACUGACGCUCAAGCACGAAAGCGUGGGGAUCAAACAGGAUUAGAUACCCUGGUAGUCG
rnacentral:rRNA from 1 species